GAAGGGACUCCUCCCUCAGGAGGGACAGAGGGGCGGCACACACUCCCAAGAGCCACCUCAGAGUCCAGGGACAGGUGGGUGAGUCCCAGCUUACAGAUCUCUCUUAUAGGCGACUCCCUGCGUGCUCUGCGUGGCUGCAAUAGAGAAAAGUGGACACACCCUAGUCAUUCCAUAGGAAAUUAACACAGUGUCAGGUGUUCCUUCGCGUGGCGGGGUGCGUACGAUGCCCGGUUAAGAUGAGUAGGUUCAUAAGGUCCUCAUGUGGACACCAGUAACACCAGUAAGAAAGCAGUGGAGCAUGGAGCAGGGCACUGUGACGGCUGCCGCCCCCUUGCUCACAGCCAGCCCCCCGCAUGCUCACAGCCGGCACACAACCCCCUAGUGCUCACAGCUGACCCCCUGCCAUGUCAGCCGGGGAGGCAUCCCCCACCAUGCUCACAGCCAGCCGGAGGGUCUCUAGGAUCUCACCAGGACGACCCCAGCCGCCCUAGCACUAGCGAGGAGGCACUAUCCUUGUUCCCUUACAGAGGGAAAACCCAAGGCUCGGAGAAACCACAAAGCUGCCCAAAGAGACGCAGCCCCUCCUGGGGGCCGGGAUGGGAACUCGGGCAGGGGCAUCCACAGGCUCAGCCCCCCGAGCUGCUGUUCCCCUGCCACAUCAGCGACCCACGUGUGUAUCAUUUGUGGACAUGUCUGUGAAGACGGAAAGCACAGGAUGGAGAGAGGGCUCCUGCUGCUGUGGUGUGGGACCUUCGAGCAGCCUGUGGAAGUCAUCCUGUGAGGAACUGUGGCCUCCCCCAAGCAGCGCAUAUUGGAGGCAGAGGCUUCAGCCCCAGUCAAACCCUCAGAUGAUGGCAGCCCCAGCCAACGUCAUGACGCAGCCUCUGGAGAGACCCUGAGCCAGGGCCACCCACCCGAACUUACCCUGGAUCCUGACCCACAGAAACUGCAAGUCGAUAAAGCAGCCCACAGGGAGCAGAGGUUUUCAUUACCAUCAUUCUCAGAGGACACGACUGGGGCUCAGAGAGGGGAAGAAACCUCUCCAGCUUGCACAGCUGAGUCAUUCCCCAAAUGGAUGAGACCCCAGCACAGGAGAAAUGCAUGACAGCCAGAUAAUAAACCUGCAUAUCAGAACUGUCAGAUCGUCUUCAGAGCAAAAGGCAACAUGCUCUCCCGAGAACCCAUGCUCUUAACCAGUGCAUUGAGCUGCCUAUUUUCUCACACCUAUAGCAACAUGAAAUUGACAAAUAUUUUGAUCAUAGCCAACU
rnacentral:lncRNA from 10 species